GGGGCUGCAGCUCAGUGGCAGGGCAUCUGCUUUGCAUACAGAAUGUCCUAGGUUCAAUCCCAAGCAUCUCCA